ensembl:lncRNA
CCAGGACCUGGUGAGGGCAGGGUCACAAGGAAAGGCUGUGGGAUAAGUGGUGGGAGGGUGGGAAUAUGGGUGCAGUGUCCUCUACUGUGCUCCUCUGGGAUGAGGAGAAGGGUCUCAUUAUUGGCCAGGAGGGGAGGGGAGCGGAGGAUGCCACUGAGUAUCAGUGUAGGGUGUUGCCAGUGGUGGCUGGGGCUGUGCUGAUGGCCCCAGGGCUGCUGCCAAGGUUGGAGGGCUACAAAGCUGUCCUGUGCUCUACGUGCUUGCUUUUAUGACAAAGAAAAGUCACGUACUUGGGGCUGCAGAGAGCUCAAUGGAGGGAAACCACCUUGUGCCAUGGGAUCACUGGGGCUGUGCCAGGCUGUGUGUGCCCAGCACAGGGCGAGCAGGCUCAGCUUAGCUUGAGCAAAGGCAAUCCAGCCUGCCCACUGCUGCUAAAGGAUGGUGAGCACUGUGCUGUGUCCAAUGCAUGGGAGCAAGUUCAAAUCCUCUGCCAUCGGUGCACAAUUGGGCUCAGUGCUCAGCCUGGGCAGUGUGAGGCCACAGUGUGGCAUCUCUAUAGAAACCCUGUGUUUGUUGGCAGCACAGCAAGCUGCUGCUGGCCUGCCUGCUCCUCAGAGAGAAUGAGAGAAAAGGUUUCAGCCCUGCAGCCUUUUGAGGAUGUUUUGUUCCCAGUUUUACCAUGUGCUCAGUGAUGGGUGCUAUCUUGAAGGAAAUCCUGGAGCCUCUGGAGCAGAACGCUUUGACUACUUGAUGCAGAUGGAGACGUCUUCUAUCAACACCUUCAGGAACUCACAUACAGAGCACAAUCAGCCCUCAGCCAACGUGGGCCUGCCAGGCCACCUGCUCCAGUGCCACCUGCCCCAGUGCCCCCGCACAUACCCUGCCUACACCACACACACGGCCCCGGUGGUGAAGAUGCUCAUGGAGCAGGAUGGGAGGAGAAGGCCCACAGCCACCUGUCCUGUGGCCACUGAGCAGAGCACAGCAUCACCAGGAGCUGCCACUGCAGGGACGCCCUCAGUGCCAUCCACAGCGAGUGGAGGCAGCAGCAGUGAAGGUGUGGAGGGCUCCGUGGAGAAGGCAGUGCCCAAGAGCAGCUUGUCACCACCAAGUGUUUGCAGCAGGGUGAUCUUUGCCAGAAAGGCUCCGCUGCGUGUGGCACCGUGCAGCAAGAAGAAAUGAGACCUGUGUAGCUGGGAACAAACAGAACAAGGAGAAUCUCCACUGUUUUCCUGAGUGCAUUAAACUACAAGUGAAAACAGCACUCUCAGCUUUCAGAACCUUUCCCUCAAAGCCCCAUUGGAAUGAAAGAUAAGCACAGAAGGGGGUGAUGCUGCAUUUUGCAAUUGUCUGGACAAAACUCAGCCCUACAGCCAGGCAGUGCCCACAGCGUGUGCAGGGCAGGGCAGGAUGGAGACGUGGAUGCCUGUGUGCCCACGCAGCCUGGAACACAGAGCCCUGUUUUCUGCUCCACUGCAGCUCAUCCCCCUGCUGGCACUGCAGCUUUGGGUGCCUCUGGUGGGGGCUGGGAUGGGGGUAACAACCCUCUGGGGGGCUCUGUGCAUCCCUCUCUGCAUCCCAGUGAGAUGUGGGGCUGCUGUGCAGAAGAUGCACUGAGCAAAUCUGUGCCCCACUCGCUUCUUGGAGCACAGAAUAGAAGGGAGGAAGGCUGACUGCUGACACUGAGGACUGGUCUUUGCACUUACCAAAUGUAUGUAUGUAUACGCACAUGUAUAGGUACCUUCAUGCACAAGUGAACCAAAAGCAAAGCAGCUGCAAAGCUGAGUGUGCAGCAGGUGGACGAGCUGCUUUCCUUUCUCACUCAUAGCUGAUGUUGUCUCUGAUGACAGAGAUGCUAAGGUCAGAACUGCAAUGUGAGAUGUGCUGUGUGUUGCUGCCCAGAUCUGUCUGUAUUCAUGCUUCAGCAGCUCCAUCCCAGCAGCAGUGACUGAUGCUUCAGUACCAGGCAUGUCAAAGCUGCUGGAAAAAUGCUCUGAAGGAGCAGCUUCCUGCAGCACUAUGGCUGGAGAUAGAAAAGCUUGAGGGACUUAAUGGUUUUAUCAAAAGCAAUAGUUGGAAAUGCAGUGUAUCUUCAGCAAAGGUGGAAAUGCUCCCUCUCUAUCAGUG